GACUAAGCGUACACGGUGGAUGCCCUGGCAGUCAGAGGCGAUGAAGGGCGUGCUAAUCUGCGAUAAGCGCCGGUAAGGUGAUAUGAACCGUUAUAACCGGCGAUACCCGAAUGGGGAAACCCAGUGUGAUUCGUCACACUAUCAUUAACUGAAUCCAUAGGUUAAUGAGGCGAACCGGGGGAACUGAAACAUCUAAGUACCCCGAGGAAAAGAAAUCAACCGAGAUUCCCCCAGUAGCGGCGAGCGAACGGGGAGGAGCCCAGAGCCUGAAUCAGCAUGUGUGUUAGUGGAAGCGUCUGGAAAGGCGCGCGAUACAGGGUGACAGCCCCGUACACAAAAGCGCAUGUGCUGUGAGCUCGAUGAGUAGGGCGGGACACGUGGUAUCCUGUCUGAAUAUGGGGGGACCAUCCUCCAAGGCUAAAUACUCCUGACUGACCGAUAGUGAACCAGUACCGUGAGGGAAAGGCGAAAAGAACCCCGGCGAGGGGAGUGAAAAAGAACCUGAAACCGU
rnacentral:rRNA from 1 species